rnacentral:pre_miRNA from 1 species
AUUGUACUCCCUCCGUUCGGAAUUACUUGUCGAAUAAAUGAAUGUAUCUAGAUGUAUUUUAGUUGUAGAUACAUACAUUUUUGUGACAAGUAAUUCCGAACGGAGGGAGUAAUUU